GACGAACGCUGGCGGCGUGCUUAACACAUGCAAGUCGAACGGACAGGCCCUGCUUUUGUGGGGUGCUCGAGUGGCGAACGGGUGAGUAACACGUGAGUAACCUGCCCUUGACUUUGGGAUAACUUCAGGAAACUGGGGCUCAUACCGGAUAGGAGCUCCUGCUGCGUGGUGGGGGUUGGAAAGUUUCGGCGGUUGGGGAUGGACUAGCGGCUUAGCAGCUUGUUGGUGGGGUAGUGGCUUACCAAGGCUUUGACGGGUAGCCGGCCUGAGAGGGUGACCGGCCACACUGGACGUGAGACACGGUCCAGACUCCAACGGGAGGGAGCAGGAGGGAAUCGGCAGAAAUGGGCGAAGGCCUGACGGAGCAAGGCCGAGUGAGUGAUGAAGGUCUGCGGAUCGUAAAACUCUGUGAUUAGGGAAGAACAAAUGUGUAAGUAACUAUGCACGUCUUGACGGUACCUAAUCAGAAAGCCACGGCUAACUACGUG
rnacentral:rRNA from 1 species